rfam:Felis catus isolate Cinnamon breed Abyssinian chromosome A3, whole genome shotgun sequence.
ACUUGGGUGGCUCAGUCAGUUAAGCGUCUGACUUAGGCUCAGGUCAUGAUCUCACAUUUUGUGGGUUCGAGCCCCACAUCAGGCU